AUGGUGUCCAUUUUGGCUUCUCACCUCACUUAGUUUCUUUUGAAUUUCUUCCUUCUCUUCUUGGAUGUCCCUGAGAUCUGCCUGCAGCUCAGCCCCAGCCUCCUCAGCUUUCUGCAGCUGAGCCUCCAGACCUACAUUUGGGAGCUGAUCCGUCUUGCUCUCAGUUAGGGCCCAGCCCUUCUGUGGGGACCAGGAAAAUCUUUGCUCACCUGGAGAAGCUGCUGGUUCAGCCCAACUUUAUCUAACGCCAAAGCCUCAUUUAAGGCACUGAGCUUGACAGCUGCAGCCCGAAGAUCAGCUACUUCUGUCUUCAGGGUGUUUUCAGAACUCGACAGCUCUGCAAUUGACUGCUCUGCCUAAAAAACAAAAAGGAUUAAAGAGUUUCAUAUUUCCAA